CCUACGGGUGGCAGCAGUGGGGAAUAUUGGACAAUGGGCGAAAGCCUGAUCCAGCCAUGCCGCGUGUGUGAAGAAGGCCUUCGGGUUGUAAAGCACUUUCAGUGGGGAAGAAAGCCUUGGGGCUAAUACCCUCGAGGAAGGACAUCACCCACAGAAGAAGCACCGGCUAACUCCGUGCCAGCAGCCGCGGUAAUACGGAGGGUGCGAGCGUUAAUCGGAAUUACUGGGCGUAAAGCGCGCGUAGGCGGUCUGAUAAGCCGGUUGUGAAAGCCCCGGGCUCAAACUGGGAACGGCAUCCGGAACUGUCAGGCUAGAGUGCAGGAGAGGAAGGUAGAAUUCCCGGUGUAGCGGUGAAAUGCGUAGAGAUCGGGAGGAAUACCAGUGGCGAAGGCGGCCUUCUGGACUGACACUGACGCUGAGGUGCGAAAGCGUGGGUAGCAAAUAGGAUUAGAUACCCUGGUAGUC
rnacentral:rRNA from 1 species